rnacentral:rRNA from 1 species
UACGUAGGGGGCUAGCGUUGUCCGGAAUCAUUGGGCGUAAAGAGCGUGUAGGCGGCCCGGUAAGUCCGCUGUGAAAGUCGGGGGCUCAACCCUCGAAUGCCGGUGGAUACUGUCGGGCUAGAGUGCGGAAGAGGCGAGUGGAAUUCCUGGUGUAGCGGUGAAAUGCGCAGAUAUCAGGAGGAACACCGAUUGCGAAGGCAGCUCGCUGGGACGUCACUGACGCUGAGAACGCGAAAGCGUGGGGAGCAAACAGG